AGAGUUUGAUCCUGGCUCAGAACGAACGUUGGCGGCGUGGAUUAGGCAUGCAAGUCGAACGAAUCCCUUGGGGGUAACUCUGAGGGGGAAGUGGCGAAAGGGGCAGUAAUGUAUGGGUAACCUACCCUGGGGUUGGGCAUAGCCGUUCUAACGAGCGGGUAAUUCCCAGCGAUUUGGCGAGCCGGCAUCGGUUUGCCAGGAAAGAAUUUCGCCUCGGGAGGGGCUCAUAUGAUAUUAGCUAGUUGGUGAGGUAACGGCUCACCAAGGCGAAGAUGUCUAGCGGGUGUGAGAGCACGACCCGCGCCACUGGCACUGAGACACUGGCCAGACACCUACGGGUGGCUGCAGUCGAGGAUCUUCGGCAAUGGGCGAAAGCCUGACCGAGCGACGCCGCGUGAGCGAAGAAGGCCUUCGGGUUGUAAAGCUCUGUCGAGGGGGAUCAAGGGAAACUUGAGUGAUCCCUGGAGGAAGCACGGGCUAAGUUCGUGCCAGCAGCCGCGGUAAG
rnacentral:rRNA from 1 species